ACCUGGGUGGCUCAGUCAGUUAAGCAUCUGACUUCGGCUCAGAUCAUGAUCUCACAGCUUGUGGGUUCAAGCCCCAUGUCGGGCU
rnacentral:tRNA from 1 species